AAUUAAGAGCACUAAAGAUUUAAAGUGCCCACACAGUUUGUUUUCGAGAUAAUGAAGAAUCCAACCGCAGCUGAGAAGAGGCGGAAAAGAUAUUCGAUCACGAUAUUGUUGUUGAUGUAAAUGAGAUGUUGUUGUAGAGCCUCUCAAUAAACGCGAUGCUAAGUCGCAAGUCAAAAAAGCAAAGUGCAUCGAAGCAUUUUUGCAAGGUUUUUUGUUUUAAUCGAAGUGCAGGAGCAGCAAAAGUAGAAGCAUACAUUCGUAUGUGACUAAAUGAGCAAGUACGUGCAGAGUAAAAUAAAAAAUCGAAGUAAAAAUGGGUCUGUAGAUCAGUUGGUUAGAUCGCACCCCUGAUAAGGGUGAGGUCGGUGGUUCAAGUCCACCCAGACCCACCAAUCCUACGGAAUUCUUCAGAGGCUUAUCCAGAUUAAAGUGCUUUUGUUUUGAGGGUAUUUUCAUCUGGAGUAACCAGAGGUUCAUUAAAAAUUAGGGUAAAUGAAGAGGUAACACAAGCGUACUUGUAUUGAAGCAGUAUGGACAUAUAGUUUGAGGUAAUUGAGAUUAUAU
rnacentral:misc_RNA from 1 species